rnacentral:piRNA from 1 species
UGAAACCUAGAGAAAUAUAAAGUCAUAAUGGG